rnacentral:rRNA from 1 species
AUACGUAGGUGGCAAGCGUUGUCCGGAAUUAUUGGGCGUAAAGCGCAUGUAGGCGGUGCCUUAAGUCUGUCGUGAAACUGCGGGGCCUAACCCCGUAUGGCGAUGGAAACUGUGGCACUUGAGUGCAGGAGAGGACAGGGGAACUCCCAGUGUAGCGGGGAAAUGCGUAGAUAUUGGGAAGAACACCGGUGGCGAAGGGGCCUUUCUGGACUGUGUCUGACGCUGAGAUGCGAAAGCCAGGGUAGCGAACGGGAUUAGAUACCCCGGUAGUCCUGGCCGUAAACGAUGGGUACUAGGUGUGGGAGGUAUCGACCCCUUCCGUGCCGGAGUUAACGCAAUAAGUCCCCCGCCUGGGGAGUACGGCCGCAAGGCUUAAACUCAAAUGAAUUGACGGGG